GAACCGCGAUAAGUAAUGUGAAUCGCAGAUCUUCCGUGAAUCAUCGAAUCUCUGAACGCACCUUGCGCUCCUCGGCAUUCCGAGGAGCAUGCCUGUCUGAGGGUCUUCGGUGCCAUCGGAUCCGGGAGCUCUCUCGGAUUCGGAACUUGGGAGCUUGCGGGCGUCCUCCGGGACGUCGGCUCUCCUCGAACGUAUCAGCGAGGGAACGACGGCUCGAGCCUGGUGCAGGAGACCGGCCUCCUUCGACGUCGUAAUGAUCGUCGUGGGUCGGGACCGCGCAGGGCCAGGCGAAGGGGCGUCUCUCGCUCACAGCGUCGGACGAGUCUGACUCUCGUCUUUGGGGAAAGGUCGGGCCUCAGAUCAGGCAGGACUACCCGCCGAACUUAA
rnacentral:rRNA from 1 species